rnacentral:pre_miRNA from 1 species
UUGGUACUCCCUCCGUCCAACAAAAGAUGUCUCAAGUUUAUUAAAAUUUGGAUGUAUCUAGACAUGAUUUAAUGUAUAGAUGCAUUUAAAUUUGGUCAAAUUUGAGACAUCCUUUGCUGGACGGAGGGAGUACAUG